rfam:Alligator mississippiensis ScZkoYb_159, whole genome shotgun sequence.
AUCUUUGCACAGUGGCAGUAUUGUAGCCUGUGAGGUUGAACUGAGGCGUGAUCAUUGCUAGUUGAAAACUUUUUUAAGCUCUCAAAGGUUUCUAAAGUAUUCAGGUCACAUGUAGCCAGUGAUUUAUUUGCAAGAGAGCUCA